ensembl:lncRNA
CUUCAAGGCAGAUUAACUGCCGACCAGCAGAAAUACAAUGUGACUAGAGAUGUAAUAUUAAUAUUCUAGUAGUUAUAUCAAGAAGUAAGAAGAAAUAGCACAUCUCAAAACUAGCUACAUCUCAAGCGUUCAGUGACUAAUUCUGGCUAGUGGCUACUGCAUUGGACAGCACAGGUCUGGACACAGUCUUUACCUGUUUUACUGGCACAUGGAAUUCACUGGGAUGAAUAGUCCAGAAGCCCACUAAGUUUUUGCAGCUGAUAUAUUGCCAAAGACACUCCAAAUCUGGCUGUAACUACUUCCAGCUGUUCAACACUUAAAUCUCUAAUUUGCAACUCCCACCAAUAAGGACACAGCAACAAACCAUGCAGCUCCCAAGAAAGACAUACCCACCCAUACAUAGCAGCAUGGCACAGUAUGCCAGUGAAAGACAAUGAACAACCAUGUUACUCCUGGAGAUCAGAACCAGAGGCUGCCAGACUAACAAACUUACUCCAUCUGCCAAGGUAGGGCACCCUCACUAAUCCUGCCAGGCAGGAUGGUGAAGUGUUUGCAGAAAUGGCUGCAAAAAUGUGCACCCCCCAUCCCAAGUAUUCAUGACCCUUAUGUAGACCCCUUCCUACACAUGGGGCUUGACCAUAUGGUUGCUUUGACUGAUGAGACAAUAGCAAACACAACACAGAGAUUUGGAAAGUGCUUAUUGCUUAUCCUCUUUCUUUCUGCUUCUGGAAACUCUGAGACCACCGUCUUGUGAUUGAGUGGGAGCUGGACUACUAGAUGAGAAGAGAUAUGGCCCAGCUAGCCUCAUCACUCUCUGCAAAACUCAACCAACUGCAAGCUGUACACGAGGCCAUAGCCUGCCGGUUGAUCCUGGGGCCACAGGGCUUCUCAAACUCCAGGAUGCAUCAGAGUCACAGGGAGAUACACAGUGGUAGAUCCAACCCAGAGCUUCUUUCUUUUUGCACCAACAGCAUUUGUUUCACCCUGCUAGAUGCUGGAGGAGAUUUUUUAAAAAAGAACUUAUUUCAUUCUUAACAUCAACAGACUUACCAAUAGGGGAUAUAAGCUUUGGGAUGUUGCCCAGUCAGUAAUUUUCACAUCCAACGAGUUCUGUGGUGACACUGCUGUUGCUGGAGUAAGAACUGCACUUUGAGAAACAUCGGUCUACUGGAUGUGUUGGAGACAGUUAGCUUGCCUUGAAACUCCAGGAUUCUGGUCCACGAGGAACCAUUUCAGUUCUGAAAGAGAAGACUGCAUAGUCCCAGAGGUCCUGGACGCAGAGGAGCUGGAGGGCAGAGCUGCAUAAUCUUGGGGUUGUCUUCCUUUGAGGGACAGAUGAGAUUUCAUGUAAAUGAGCUCUGUGUGUGUGUGUUCAGUUGUGUCUGACUCUUUGCGACAUCCUGGACUGUAGUCCGCCAGUCCAUGGAAUUUUCCAAGCAAGAAUACUGGAGUGGGUAGCUGUUUCCUACUCCAGGGGAUCUUCCCAACCCAGGGAUUGAACCCGUGUCUCUUGCAUCUCCUGCAUUGGCAGGCAAAGAUUCUUUACCACUAUCACCAUUUGGGAAGCCCUGUAAAUGAAUUCUACAUAUUUUUAAUUGUUUAUAAUGGAAUAAACGUUUGUUGCAGUUGAGUGGGCCACGGCGGAGGGCGUGAACUGUCUACCCAAAGCCCAUUUCCUUUCCUUUCUACUUUGUCUAG